AGAGUUUGAUCAUGGCUCAGGAUGAACGCUGGCGGCGUGCCUAACACAUGCAAGUCGAACGAAGCAUUUACUGUGGAUUCCUUCGGGGAGAAGCGGUUUAUGACUGAGUGGCGGACGGGUGAGUAACGCGUGGGGAACCUGCCUCUGCCAGGGGGAUAACAGUUAGAAAUGACUGCUAAUACCGCAUAAGCGCACGGAACCGCAUGGUUCGGUGUGAAAAGCCGAGACGGACAGAGAUGGACCCGCGUCUGAUUAGGUAGUUGGUGAGGUAACGGCCCACCAAGCCGACGAUCAGUAGCCGACCUGAGAGGGUGACCGGCCACAUUGGGACUGAGACACGGCCCAAACUCCUACGGGAGGCAGCAGUGGGGAAUAUUGCACAAUGGGGGAAACCCUGAUGCAGCGACGCCGCGUGAAGGAAGAAGUAUUUCGGUACGUAAACUUCUAUCAGCAGGGAAGAAAAUGACGGUACCUGACUAAGAAGCUCCGGCUAAAUACGUGCCAGCAGCCGCGGUAAUACGUAUGGAGCAAGCGUUAUCCGGAUUUACUGGGUGUAAAGGGAGCGUAGGCGGCGAUGCAAGUCAGAGGUGAAAGCCCGGGGCUCAACUCCGGGACUGCCUUUGAAACUGUAUGGCUGGAUUGCAGGAGAGGUAAGUGGAAUUCCUAGUGUAGCGGUGAAAUGCGUAGAUAUUAGGAGGAACACCAGUGGCGAAGGCGGCUUACUGGACUGUAAAUGACGCUGAGGCUCGAAAGCGUGGGGAGCAAACAGGAUUAGAUACCCUGGUAGUCCACGCGGUAAA
rnacentral:rRNA from 1 species